UCCAUCUCCUAGAAAAUCAAAUCUAAAGCAAUAUCAAGCAUUCAACAUGAGUCGAUCUUUAAACUUUAUCGUCCAUUUGUAAGUGUUUCUGAAAUGUAUAAUUUCAAGCCUAGAUUUAUGGUGCUGGUUUAGAAAUGAUUGAAUUAGAAAAUGAUGCUGUUGAAGUGGGUUGUACACUCAAAUAUCCAGAUUGUUCUGUUCAUAUGUUUGGUUCUUCUGGUAAUGGUUACCUAGGGUUUUCUUAUAAUAGUUGUGAUUUGAGGUUAAUUAGUUGUUGGAACCCUUCUACUGUACAGAAUACAAAAAUACCUACAAAACAUCUCAAUAGGCUCUUGGGUAUUGGGUAAUACGUGGAGGUCAUCAUACAUGGAGAAGUCUUGAUGAUGUCCCGCAGUACGAUUUUGGAGUAAUCCUAGUUGCAAGAUCUUGUUUUGCGUUAAAUUUGGAAUUAGUAUUUAGAAUAUACAUAGAGAUGAAUCCUGAGAAGAAAGUUAAUUUGGGUUGUAGUGUCUAAAGAUAUCCGGAAACUGUGUUGUUAAAGGCGACCACAAAGGCGCCCAAAGUGCAGGAAUCUUAAUGUGACCACCUCGCCAAUAAUGCAUCUAAGGCGCCUAAUGUGGAGUAGAUUAGUGUAUUCAGUGCUUGUUUGCAGCAUGAUCAUGGCAUUGAUAUCAUCAGGGCAUUCAUUUGACAAACUGUAGCCUACUUUUCUCACCUAAAGAAACAAGAUUUAAGCAUGACCAAUAAGUUAUCAUCGACCCUCUUCACACUCUCUUUGUAAGGUAAAAGAAGAAGAAAGAAGUUGUUUUCAUUAAUAGAUAAGAAUGCGUGUGUGGGAUAAUGGAAGCUGGUAAGCAAAUUGAAGAAAAUUGAAGUUGACUGUUUUGAUUUGGAAGAAGCUUGGAUUCUGGUUCAGCAAAGAAGUUCUAAGUGGACACCCAAAUGCACCUGAGGUUGCCUAAAAGUCAUGAAAGAAUAUCACAUUGAGCUCCCAUAAUAUUGGUUGAACUGUUGGUACCACAAAGUCUCCAAAACUUGCAACAUGGAUUUGGUUUCAGGUCUUAUCAGUCACCUUAGAUGAUUGGUCUGAUGAGUUCAUGAUUGAGGUUGGUGAAAAUUCUUCUGUUAAUUCAAUAUACAUGGCUUUUACACCUGAUGGAAUCACAAAGCCUGAAGCAGAUUCAAGUCAUUAACAACGUUCCAAGUUUAUCAGUUCAGCAAAGAGACAGUAUUUCUAUGCAUGAAAUGUGGUGUGCGCCGAAGUCUUGGUACUCACAUUUCAAAGGUCUCAUCAGUCACCUUAGAUGAUUGGUCUGAUGAAGAAAUCGAGUCCAUGAUUAAGGUUGGUGGAAAAUUUUCUGUUAAUUCAAUCUACAAGGCUUCUAUACCUGAUGGAAUCUCAAAGCCUGGAGCAGAUUCAAGUCAUGAAUGAUGUUCCAAGUUUAUCAGCAGGGACUUGGUGCCGAGUGUUUAUAUGGAUUUUAGAAUUGGCCUAUCUGGACACGGUUGUUACCGGAUUGUAACUUAGAGGACUGUUCUAGCUAUGUCAGAAAAUGGGAUUGGCAUAUUUCUGGAUGUUGGAUCUUCUCAGAUAGUGGAACAUAGCCCAGGAAGAGGAUCCCUAGAACGCCUUCAUGCUGGAGUUGAUACUAAGCGUCUAUUCUUCUGCUUCACGCGAGGCGAAGUCUUACUUCAAAUAUGUUUUUAUGUUGCACAUGCCAAUUCCUUGCGGUCUCUAUCAUGAUAGAGUUUCAUCACUAUAUCAGACAAAGUUGUACUUGGUCGACCAUUGAAUAAGGGCUUUAGUUUUAUUUCACCUGUGCUUCUGCUGUUACAAGGGAUGGUGUUCGCUGCUUGUUGGAGGUUGCAGCAAAACAGUGUCAUGAAGCUGAAUACCGCAUUGCAGAAAGAUCUGCACUCCGAAGUGAUUUUUUGCUGAUGGUGUCCCGGCAGUUUUGGUGGACCAGGACCAGUUUUUUUUUAAUUUGAACUAUUUUUUUUUUUUUUGAUUAAGGGAACAUUUUAUAAAGCUAAGAAGCAGAAGAAACAUUGUUUAGCUUACAUAACCGAAGGAAGGAUCCACGCAUCCUUUCUAACCUUAUCCCAGUACCUAGAGUUAAUAUACAUAUAUUCUGAUGUCUAUUAAGGAUUCUAGCAUCCUUUCUAACCUUAUCCCAGUACCUAGAGUUAAUAUACAUAUUCUGAUGUCUAUUAAGGAUUCUAGCUAAUUUAUCCGCAAAGAAAUUACAUUUCCGCUUAAUAAAAACGAAAGAAGAACUAGCAAGAAACUGGUUAUAAUUUAA